CGGCAAAUGCCCAAACCACAUGCUAUUAUUUAUAUAUAAGGCAUGGAAGUUGGAGAGAAGGGUAGAGAGGGUAUAUUUACAACGUGUACAUGUAGGACCCAACUUAAUUAGUAAUUAGGAUUCUCUCCUAGGGUCCACUUUGACGCUAAGUGGGUUUGCCAUUUCACAAGAUAGCCUUAGUAUUUCGGACAGAUCCACCGAGUUGUGAUCUGAUUUCACCCACUCAAACUCAUGCAACAACGUCCCUACCCAGAAGCUAACUGUGGCCAAACCCAAUGCCUUUCCUGGGCAUGUCCUCCUACCCGACCCGAAUGGAGCCAGCCUGAGGUCUGAACCCAACACCGUAACCUCCAUGUCCACGGCACCAGCAUCUUUGCACACAAAUCUCUCUGGCCAGAACUUGAUUGGGUCCAUCCAAACUUCUGGGUCCCUUGUUAUGGCCCACAUGUUUACCAUAGCUGUGGUCCCCUCGGGCACCUCAUACCCAUCCACUGUAGUGUCGGUGAUUGCCAUUCGGGCCCAGGAUAAAAGUGGGCCAGGUGGAUGUAGCCUAAGCACUUCUUUCACUACUGCUUGCAGAUAAACCGUUGACUGAAUGUCUGAUUCCAUUAACGGCCGUGAUCUUCCCACGACUCCAUCGAGCUCAUUGUGGACUUUGUCUUGAAUAUCAGGGUGAAGAACCAUUCUCGCUAGUAUCCACUCUAUCAAAACAGCUACGGUGUCUGUUCCUCUAAAAAUCAUCUCCCAAAGAACAGCAGCCACAUCCUGAUCUGAUAACUUGUCCGGUCCUUGAAGAGAGAGUAAAACAUCUACAAAAUCUUGUCUUGUUCGGCCGUUCAACUGAGCUUUGUGUUCUUGAAUAAUCCGGUUGACAAAAUGGUUCACCUUAGGAACCAAUUGGGAGCACCUGAAACGGAUCUUUUGAAGGUCGAAACUUGCAAGCCAAGGAAGAUGAUCGGACCAGUUGAGCUUCCCUAGUAGUUCAUACCCCUCCUCAACUAACGCUCUCAGUUGUUCCGUUUCGCUGUUUGAUGAACCCAGUUCGUAUCUGCGCCCAAAGACCAACCACAUCAUGUUGUUAAGUGAAGCUCUCUUUAGUAUAUCACGGACUCGGAAAUCUCCUCUGUGACAUGCAAUAAGUGAUACCAUUUGGGAACCAAUAUCUUUCCUCUGUGACUCUGUAGAGCUGAUUUGUUUGGGACAAAAGAGAUGUGUUGCCGCGAUUCUCCUUAGGGUUCGCCAAUAGACCCCAUAAGGAGCGAAACCAAUGGCUCUGUUAAACAUGAGUCCAUAAGCAGACUCUUUCACAGGACGAUCUGCAAAGACCGAGCUGUUUAGGAUUUCUUUAGCUACAACAGGAUUGCAUGUGAUUAUAACCCUAGUCUCUCCUAGGCUAAAAGCCAUGAGUCUUUUCGCGUUGAACAGGAUAGCUGCAGCUGCAAGCUUUUGAUGAGCUAAGUUGGCCAUCAGGUUCAUGCUGCCUAGCACUGGAAACCCUCUAGGACCUGGAACUAACUUGGCUUUACUUCCUAUCUUGAACCAGUACUUACCCCAGGCAGGGCCUCCAGG
rnacentral:misc_RNA from 1 species